UGCAAAGCAACGAUUGAUACACCUGAGCCGGCAUUGCCAUUUGGCAUUCCCGGCGUCGGUGCAAUAUAGAGCAGUUGUGCGCGUUGUUGAUCACUGCUGCCAGAUGGCGCUGUAGCCGCCUUUGUGGCGGUGUGCGUUGUGGCAGGGUAGUGAUUGCACGUACGCUGAGCAUUGUAUAAAACUGGUAUGAAUUGCCGGUUGUUCGGAUAUUUCCGUCAGCGCUGUGGUGCCGUUGUGUCAAACACGGUUUGAUUGGCUGGCUGGUGUCCGUGUACAUAUGACUGUGUCUAUUGCGAUUGUUGAUACACCCGAUGCGUAAAUGCAAUUAUUGAUUUGCCGACAGCAAUCCACGUUGGAUUGUGUAUAUUAUGUGGGCUUAGUCGGGAAUUCUAUUCCCGUCAGUCAAUGACAUUGCUAUAUGUUCCGCCCAACGAAUUAUUGUUCUCCAAGUAUAGACCAACCAUGUUGGCUAUUGGGAAAUCGAUAUGCUUGCAAAAUGAAAAUAUGCACAAUUGAUUGAGUGUGCGUUGCACAGUGCGCCUCGGCGCCUGUGUCCGAUACACAUAAGCAGCUAGCGCAGCUGCAUUCAGCACCAGCUCAUUUAUGCAUCGCUUCUGCGGUGCACUGUGAGGCGUGCUGUUGCUACUGUGCUGCUGCUGAAUAUGUGAACAGCUACCUGGUUGA
rnacentral:misc_RNA from 1 species